rnacentral:lncRNA from 1 species
GAGAGAUUGAGAGUGAGUGCACAAGCAGGGGGAGAGGCAGAAGGAGAUGGAGAAGCAGACUCCCCACUGAGCAGGGAGCCCAUCAUAGGACCCGUAGGACUUGAGCCCAGGAUUGUGACCUGAGCCGAAGGCAGACACUUAACCAACUGAGCCAACUGGUUGCCCCCUCCCUCACUUUUCUGACUGAGAUUCUUGGCUAUUGUUUUUUCUUUCUUUUAUGCCUUUUUUUUUGUAUUUUUUUUAUUGGAGUUUUUUUUUUAAUAUUUUAUUUAUUUAUUCAUAGAGACACAGCUAGAGAGAGAGAGGCAGAGACACAGGCAGAGGGAGAAGCAGGCACCAUGCAGGGAGCCUGAUGUGGGACUCGAUCCCGGUCCUCCAGGAUCACACCCUGGGCUGCAGGCGGCGCUAAACCGCUGCGCCACCGGGGCUGCCCUUUUAUUGGAGUUUGAUUUGCCAACAUAUAGUAUAACACCCAAUGCUCAUCCCAUUUUCAAUGCUCAAUUCUUUCUGGUCUCCUAGCAACUUGUCCUUCCUUACUGGCCUCUCUUACCACCCCGGGGUUCCACCCAGCCACCUGCCCAGACUACAAACUAACCUUUCCCUCCUUAUCUUCAUUUUUCUUCUUCCUCGGAUCUUUCUUUUUAUGUGUCCUAGGUCCCUGGUUCAAUACGACUGCCUUCUUUUCUGGACUCAAGAAGAGAGCAGAUUUCUCCAUCUACCCUUCUUAUAUGCUAAUGACCUCAAAGUGCUACAGUGCUGGUCGCGAACACUCCUUUAUGAACUGAUGUG